GGAGGGGACCCACGCGAAGGAAAGUCUUGAACCUGGUCAGGCCGGAAGGAGCAGCCAUAAGGGACCGUACCUUGCGCAGUGGAUUAUCCUCUUCCGG
rnacentral:SRP_RNA from 2 species